GUGUCAGCCGCCGCGGUAAUACGUAGGAGACGAGCGUUAUCUGGAUUUACUGGGCGUAAAGAGGGCGUAGGCGGUCUUUCAAGUCGGAUGUGAAAUCUCCCGGCUUAACUGGGAGGGGUCAUUUGAUACUGUUGGGCUAGAGGGCAGCAGAGGGAGGUGGAAUUCCCGGUGUAGUGGUGAAAUGCGUAGAUAUCGGGAGGAACACCAGUGGCGAAGGCGGCCUCCUGGGCUGUUUCUGACGCUGAGGCCCAAAAGCGUGGGGAGCGAACAGGAUUAGAUACCCUGGUAGUCCACGCUGUAAACUAUGGACACUAGGUAUGGGGAGUAUCGACCCUCUCUGUGCCGAAGCUAACGCUUUAAGUGUCCCGCCUGGGGACUACGGCCGCAAGGCUAAAACUCAAAUGAAUUGACGGGG
rnacentral:rRNA from 1 species